rnacentral:rRNA from 1 species
AUUGCACGCUGGCGGCAGGCCUAACACAUGCAAGUCGAGCGAGCGGCGGACGGGUGAGUAAUGUAUGGGGACUGCCCGAUAGAGGGGGAUAACUACUGGAAACGGUAGCUAAUACCGCAUACUAUCGGAUAACCCAUAUGGGAUUAGCUCGUGGGUGAGGUAAUGGCUCACCUAGGCGACGAUCCCUAGCUGGUCUGAGAGGAUGAUCAGCCACACUGGGAAGGAAACACGGCCCAGACUCCUACGGAGGCAGCAGUGGGGAAUAUUGCACAAUGGGCGCAAGCCGAAGGCAGCCAUGCCGCGUGUAUGAAGAAGGCCCUAGGGUUGUAAAGUACUUUCAGUCGGGAGGCGUUACCGACAGAAGAAGCACCGGCUAACUCCGUGCCAGCAGCCGCGGUAAUAC